rnacentral:tRNA from 1 species
UGGCUCAGUGGUUAGAGCACAGGAUGCUCAUCCGGAGAACCUGGGUUCGAUUCCCAG